rnacentral:rRNA from 1 species
UACGUAGGGUGCAAGCGUUGUCCGGAAUUAUUGGGCGUAAAGAGCUCGUAGGCGGUCUGUCGCGUCUGCUGUGAAAACUCAGGGCUUAACCCUGAGCUUGCAGUGGGUACGGGCGGACUAGAGUGCGGUAGGGGAGACUGGAAUUCCUGGUGUAGCGGUGAAAUGCGCAGAUAUCAGGAGGAACACCGGUGGCGAAGGCGGGUCUCUGGGCCGUAACUGACGCUGAAGCGCGAAAGCAUGGGGAGCGAACGGG